ACGCUCGACACCUACGGGNGGCAGCAGUGAGGAAUAUUGGUCAAUGGGCGCUAGCCUGAACCAGCCAAGUAGCGUGAAGGAUGAAGGCUCUAUGGGUCGUAAACUUCUUUUAUAUAAGAAUAAAGUGCAGUAUGUAUACUGUUUUGUAUGUAUUAUAUGAAUAAGGAUCGGCUAACUCCGUGCCAUCAGCCGCGGUAAUCUGAGCGGGCUGGCAAGGC
rnacentral:rRNA from 1 species